AUUGAACGCUGGCGGCAGGCUUAACACAUGCAAGUCGAACGGGAUCUUCAGAUUUAGCGGCGGACGGGUGAGUAAUGCCUAGGAAUCUGCCUGGUAGUGGGGGACAACGUUUCGAAAGGAACGCUAAAACCGCAUACGUCCUACGGGAGAAAGUGGGGGAUCUUCGGACCUCACGCUAUCAGAUGAGCCUAGGUACGAUUAGCUAGUUGGUGAGGUAAAGGCUCACCAAGGCGACGAUCGUUAACUGGUCUGAGAGGAUGAUCAGUCACACUGGAACUGAGACACGGUCCAGACUCCUACGGGAGGCAGCAGUGGGGAAUAUUGGACAAUGGGCGAAAGCCUGAUCCAGCCAUGCCGCGUGUGUGAAGAAGGUCUUCGGAUUGUAAAGCACUUUAAGUUGGGAGGAAGGGCAGUAAGUUAAUACCUUGCUGUUUUGACGUUACCGACAGAAUAAGCACCGGCUAACUUCGUGCCAGCCGCCGCGGUAAGAC
rnacentral:rRNA from 1 species